rnacentral:snRNA from 1 species
GAGGGCGCGGCGGUCGCUGCA